rnacentral:rRNA from 1 species
GUGAGGAAUAUUGGUCAAUGGACGAGAGUCUGAACCAGCCAAGUCGCGUGAAGGAAGACGGUUCUAUGAAUUGUAAACUUCUUUUGUGCAGGAAUAAAGUGGGUUACGUGUAACCUUUUGUAUGUACUGUACGAAUAAGGAUCGGCUAACUCCGUGCCAGCAGCCGCGGUAAUACGGAGGAUCCGAGCGUUAUCCGGAUUUAUUGGGGUUAAAGGGUGCGUAGGUGGAUUGAUAAGUGAGCGGUGAAAGUUUGCAGCUUAACUGUAAAAUUGCCGUUGAAACUGUCGGUCUUGAGUGCAAAUGAGGUAGGCGGAAGGUGUUGUGUAGCGGUGAAAUGCUUAGAUAUAACACAGAACUCCGAUUGCGAAGGCAGCUUACUGGGAUGCAACUGACACUGAUGCACGAAAGCGUGGGUAUCAAACAGGAUUAGAAACCCGUGUAGUCC